GCCGGGAUAGCUCAGCUGGGAGAGCGACAGACUGAAGUUAAGACGAGCAUUCCGUCAACUUUCUUCUGCAGGUCAGGUGUUCGAGCCACCUUCCUGGCA